rnacentral:lncRNA from 1 species
UUUAAGAAACUACUUUCUGGGAUUGUGUUGUGUGACUCUAUUCCUGGGGAGAGACGGGAACAAAUGUCUUCUAACCAGAUGGGGAACAUGAUAGACCAAACAAAGUAAGGAUACCACCAAAGUCUGAGUUGGUGAACAAUAGAGUUUUAAUAGGUUUAUUUACAGAGAAGAGAUGCCAUUGCCAAAAUCCCACUCCAGUAUAAGUGACAGUUCACAUAAGCUGGGAACCUGGGGCUUGCUGUUGGACUCGUUGGCAGCUCAACAGCUUAGAAGAUAUCUUUUCUAGGCAGUUGAAGUGUUCUGAGCAUCUUUGAGGCAACUUUCCAAGUCUCUGCUUCUUGUAAGCAACAUGUCUUGUGUGAUAUUCUUCUAGCCUAGCAGUUUUCAGCCUGUGAGUCAUGAUCAUUGAAAAACACACAUUUCUCAUGGUCUUAGGAACUCCCAACCAUAAGUUUAUUUUUGUUGCUACUUCAUAACUGAUUUUGCUGAGACCUAAGACUGCUGUUCUAGGCAGCUUGGUUUGUCUGAGAGUAUAUUUCAAACAGUCUACUGCUUAUCUACACAUUUGGGGAGAGAGGAGUAUAGUGAAUCUUUUUGUUGGUUUCAGGGACUUGUUGACGCUACUUUGAGUUGUUUCCUUCCCGAGGUUCGUGAUUGCUGAGCGUCCGUCCCUGCUGGAUUGGUUGUUUCACCUCCCUAUGAACAUCCUGUGUCUGAAUGAGCUGCCUCCUCUGGUGGAAGGUUUUAAUCUUGGAGGAAACUGUUAAAGAGCAGAUUUUGAUAUGGUUCAGCUGGGAAAGGCACUUGCCUGAAUUUGAUCCUCAUGUCCGACAUGGUACAAGAGGAGAACUGACUCUAGUGAGUUGUCCUCAGGCUGCCAUAUGUGUACCAUAGCAUGUGCAUGCCCACCCACCACCCACCCCCAAAAUGUAAUUUUUAAAGUAUUUUUUGUCCCUACUGUUGAAGAUUAUAAGUGUAAUUGUAUAGAAAUAAACUACUUUCUCCACUAAUCUAUUGGUAGUAAUUGUGUCCAAUCCUCACACUCUGCUGCUAUCUCCCUUACUACUACUGCUGGGUACAGUGAAAUUUUGAAACCCUCAAACUGAGACAUGAAGAUUAGAAUUAGUUUCUUUUGAAAUUUCCCAUAAUAAUAUUUUUAGCUUCUCCUGAGAAUAUUGGGGUUUUUUGUUUUGUUUUGUUGGCUUUUCAAGACAGGGUUUCCGUGUAUAGCCUGAUUAUCCUAAAACUCACUCUGUAGCCCAGGUUAGCCUUAAAUUCAGACAUUUGGCCACCUGUACCUCCUUGAAUGCUAGAAGUAAAGGUGUUUGUUACCACACCCAAUUUAAAACUUCUUUGGGAGGAAAAAAUGAAUGCUGGGCAUGGUGGUCCAAGGAUUUAAUCCCAGCAUUCAAGAGGCAGAAGCAGGCAGGUCUUUUACAAGCCAGCUAGAACCAUACCAUAACACCCUGUCUCAGGGGGUUUAAAAAAAAAAAAAAGAUUUAUGGCUUUCUUUUCCUAUUACUAUAAAAAACUUCAUGAAACUGAUACCAUGUUGAAAUGUUAACUUUGGGGUAAUUUGAGUCUGUGUUCACAGGCCA